GACAUCUAGCUGCUGCUGGGGCGCCGGCGGCCGCCUCUCACCGGCCGAGCGGAGAGGAAGGAAGGAGCCAGAGGACAGGAGUGCAUGGGGACUCAGAAUCCUUAAUAGGGGAACUGAGGGUGAAGGGCGCGCAGCAGCCCCCACCUACUCCCAAGAUUUUAAUUUGCACUGGAUACGGGUUUUGUCCCCCCCUCCCCGCACCCCGG
rnacentral:lncRNA from 1 species